UGUGUUUAGAAAGAUUCAGUUUUCAUUCAGUCAAGAAUACCGAAUCUGAAGUAAGCGUAAUGUGUUUGUCCUUAGUCUGAGAAGAGGCAUACAAAAAAAUUUGGUUUUUUCUCAGUACAAACAGAGAUUUCCAGCUCUGAGGUCCCAGGAACAAUCUAGAGCUUGUGGGAGAGAGAGCAAGUGCCUGUGAACGGCUUGCUUGAUGGAUGAGGAUAAACUGUGAUGAUGUCGCACUGCAAUAAUCACAGGAGCUACAGAAUACCUACAGAAUGUACAGCCUUCUCUUGGAUUUUGUUGUCAAGCUUACAUAAACUAAAUGAAAUUACACAAGAAAUUAAUUCUUCAUUGCAUGAAGAAGGGUGAAACUUGGAAGAAGGAAUUGGGUCUCUCGAAACUUCCCUCUGUUUGUGUCCACCAAAUUUUCAGGACUGCCAUAUAAGCUGUUACUGUUGUUUUCCUGUGCUAGAUAUAUAGUACAUUUUUUCUGAAUGGGAAAACACUUCAGAUACUGUACCGUAUUAAUUUUUCUGUUUGUCAUUGUUUGCUUUUUUGUACUUCUGUAAUGCCUUUAUUCCUCUGGAAUCAGUUUUAAAAAUUACAGGCCCACUGCAUUCAGGUUUCUAUUAAGUAUGACAGCUUGGUUCUUGGCUGAUGCCAAAAUAUAAUUUGAUUGAGUGAAGUAUAAAUGACACCACAUGAUUUCUCUAAUGAUGCUUUGCUACUGAGGAAGUUUUCCUUUUGGACUAAGAUGAGUGAUUUUAUAUCUCACCCUAGACUUCAGUACUUGAAGUCACUGUCAUUUUUCUGUGCAUUACAUAGACCUGCUAUGUUAGAUAUAUAAUGUCUUGCAAAAUAAAGUUUCAAAUCAUCUGUCUUCAAGCAAACUUAUUUUGGAAAAUCAGGUUUCAGGGCUCUUGGAGAAGUUGUGGAGUCUGUAGCUGUAUUGUGGUGUUGACUGUCAAAUUGCUCAGGAUGUGGUCCCACUUAUCCUCAGUCAAUAUACCAGUUUUUGCCUGCUUAGCUUUGAAGAUUGAAAACCUUUUUUCACACUACAAAACAUUAUUAAUUUGGGGGGCAAAGGGUGUGUUCCCAAAUCUAUGGCAUAUGCAGAAAAAUAUGACAGAGAUUUCUAAAUAUUUUGCCAAAUAUUAUUUGUAGUUCUAGAACUCUCUCUCUGCUCGUCUUUUUCACAGUCUUACAAAGGUCCAGGACAGGCCAAAAUUACAGUCUGAAGUCCAGGUGAAGAACCAGAUUCCUGCAAAAUUUUACUUGCCUUGUAUUUUAAACAAUUUUUUCCUUCCCUUUAGAAAACAGU